rnacentral:misc_RNA from 1 species
AACCUAGCACACCUGCGGUGUGUACCUGCGGAAGGAUCAUUAUAGAGUUUUCUAAACUCCCAAACCCAUGUGAACUUACCAUUGUUGCCUCGGCAGAACCUACCCGGUACCUACCCUGGAACUAGCUACCCUGUAGCUACCCAGGAACGGGCUACCCUGUAACGUCCUGCCGGUGGACUUCUAAACUCUUGUUAUUUAUAGUAAUCUGAGCGUCUUAUUUUAAUAAGUCAAAACUUUUAG